rnacentral:rRNA from 1 species
GACGAACGCUGGCGGCGUGCCUAAUACAUGCAAGUCGAACGAAGCUGUUUUAACUGGUGCUUGCACCGACUUAAACAACUGAGUGGCGAACGGGUGAGUAACACGUGGGUAACCUGCCCCAAAGCGGGGGAUAACAUUUGGAAACAGAUGCUAAUACCGCAUAACCACAGAAACCACAUGGUUUCUGUGUCAAAGAUGGUUUCGGCUAUCACUUUGGGAUGGACCCGCGGCGUAUUAGCUAGUUGGUAAGGUAAUGGCUUACCAAGGCAAUGAUACGUAGCCGAACUGAGAGGUUGGUCGGCCACAUUGGGACUGAGACACGGCCCAAACUCCUACGGGAGGCAGCAGUAGGGAAUCUUCCACAAUGGACGAAAGUCUGAUGGAGCAACGCCGCGCGAGUGAAGAAGGUUUUCGGAUCGUAAAACUCUGUUGUCAGAGAAGAACGUGUGCGAGAGUAACUGUUCGUGCAGUGACGGUAUCUGGCCAGAAAGCCACGGCUAACUACGUGCCAGCAGCCGCCGCAG